AGGGGGAGGGGUUUAAAGAUGUGAUUGGGUCAGUCCAGAGGAAAACCGAUGCGCUGAUCUACCUGGGCUGAAAAAGUGCUCGGCCUGACGGAUGUCCAAUCCAGCUCUGCAUCGUAUUGAGUUAUGUCUCUUCGCUGUCAGGUGUACGAGUCUGGCAGAGAACUGGCCUGUGAUAGUUCCUGUGCUGAUACAUAUAAUGUGUGUUAUGGGCCUUCAGGACCUAAAGUCUGUAAUCUGUUAAAGUGUCCAGCUGCCUCUUACAGCCAGCGGCACCGAAGAGGGGAGAGAGGAGGAUGAACUUGCUCUCAGUCUGCUACAGCUCCACAAGCUUCCACCAAUGAAGUGGAGCAACCUGAGUAACCUGGGAGGCAACGCUCUGGUGCAAAAAAAAAGAAGCAAACAAACAUUUGAUUUUGAAAAGGGAGGGGGGAAAUAUUCCUGUUUCUGCAUUUGGUUAAAUUCCUUUAGCUGUAAUGUAAGAUCUCCAAACAGGGAAUCAUUCAGUCUUUUUUUGUCUCCCUGUUUACUUCACGGUCACAUCUGUUCCCUGUCAUCUUGAUUCCUUGUAGUCAGCAUUUCUACUGAAAAUACAGCUUUCCUAUUCCUUUCUGUAACUGUUAUAGUAAGGUAAUGUUAGCUGAGUCUUCCCUUAAACUGCAUGAGGAGUUGGAGUGUAGCGGUAGGUGUCGGCAGGUGGUAAUUUUCCAAAUGAUUGGAGGUUUUUUAUGACAGGCCACUAAAGAGAAACACACUAGAAUACAAACAGAUAAAACAGCUUUAGGUUGUAACAAGUUUUUCAUACUCUUUGAAUCUUAUUAAAUUACUCCUGAGAUAUACAUCUACACUGGUGAUUAUCAAACUUAAGUUUUUCAUUCAAAUAUCACAUCCACAAUGUCAAAUGUCAUAUUUAAAAACUAAAGCUGCAUUUCCCAAUCUGACCUGAUGGAGACAGUAAAGGACCAUGUAAAAGCCCAGGUUUCUACUCAGCAGUAAGAGAUGUGUGCCCCAGCACGUCCGAUACAGGAAGGAGAUCAUUACAGGCAAUAAAUUAAAAAAAAAAAAAAAGUAUUGACACCAUAUGCUCU